GGUUCGAUUAUGGCUCAGAUUGAACGCUAGCGGAUGCCUUACACACAUGCGUCGAACGGCAGCACGGACUUCGGUCUGGUGGCGAGUGGCGAAACGGGUGAGUACUGUAUCGGAACGUGCCCAGUAGCGGGGGAAUAUAAACCAUACGAAAGCGUUAAUACCGUGCUAAUACCCCCAUGGGUAAGUAGAUCGCAAGACCUUGCACUAUUGGAGCGGCCGAUAUCGGAUUAGCUAGUUGGUGCGGGGUAACGGCUCACCAAGGCGACGAUCCGUAGCUGGUUUGAGAGGACGACCAGCCACACUGGGACUGAGACAACGGCCCAGACUCCUACGGGAGGAAGCAGUGGGGAAUUUUGACAAUGGGGGAACCCUGAUCCAGCCAUCCCCGCGUGCGAUGAAGGCUUUCGGGUUGUAAAGCACUUUUGGCAGGAAAGAAACGUCGUGGGUUAAUACCCUGCGAAACUGACGGUACUCUGCAGAAUAAGCACUGGCUAACUACGUGCCAGCAGCCGCGGUAAUGGUAGGGUGCAAGCGUUAAUCGGAAUUACCGGGCGCAAGGGGCAGGCGGUUCGGAAAGAAAGAUGAAACCCAGGAGCUUAACUUUGAACUGCAUUUUUAACUACCGGGCUAGAGUGUGUCAGAGGGAGGUGGAAUUCCGCGUGUAGCAGUGAAAUGCGUAGAUAUGCGGAGGAACAUCGAUGGCGAAGGCAGCCUCCCUGGGAUAACACUGACGCUCAUGCACGAAAGCGUGGGGAGCAAACAGGAUUAGAUACCCUGGUAGUCCACGCUCCAAACGAUGUCAACUAGCUUCGUUAUCUUUCGGGCUCAAAGUGCAGCUAACGCGUGAAGCUGGAGACCGCCUGGGGAGUACGGUCGCAAAGAUUAAACCCGCUGAAUUUACUGGGGACCCGCACAAGCGGUGGAUGAUGUGGAUUAAUUCGAUGCAACGCGAAAACCUUACCUACCCCUUGGACAUGUCUGAAUGCCGAAGAGAUUUGGCAGUGCUCGCAAGAGAACCGGAACACAGGUGCUGCAUGGCUGUCGUCAGCUCGUGUCGUGAGAUGCUGGGUUAAGUCCCGCAACGAGCGCAACCCUUGUCAUUAGUUGCUACGAAAGGGCACCUAAUGAGACUGCCGGUGACAAACCGAGGAAGGUGGGGAUGACGUCAAGUCCUCAUGGCUCCUAUGGGUAGGGCUUCACACGUCAUACAAUGGUCGGGACAGAGGUGGUCGCCAACCCGCGAGGGGGAGCCAAUCCCAGAAACCCGAUCAGUCCGACUGCAGUCUGCAACUCGAAUUGCGGGAAGUUGGAAUCGCUAGUAAUCGCGGAUCAGCAAGUCGCGAGCACAUGCUCCGGUCUUGUACACACCGCCCGUCACACCAUGGAGUGGGUUUGCUUUAGCGGUUAGCCUAACCGCAAGGGGGGCGACCACGGUAGGAUUCAUGACUGGGGUGAAGUCGUAACAAGGUAA
rnacentral:rRNA from 1 species